AGAGUUUGAUCCUGGCUCAGGACGAACGCUGGCGGCGUGCCUAACACAUGCAAGUCGAACGAAGCUCCUAAACGGGCGACUUCGGUCAAACGGGAAGGAAGACUUAGUGGCGAACGGGUGAGUAACGCGUGAGGAACCUGCCUUUCAGUGGGGGACAACAGUUGGAAACGACUGCUAAUACCGCAUAACGUACAGAGGUCGCAUGGCUUCUGUACCAAAGAUUAAUUGCUGAAAGAUGGCCUCGCGUCUGAUUAGAUAGUUGGUGAGGUAACGGCCCACCAAGUCGACGAUCAGUAGCCGGACUGAGAGGUUGAACGGCCACAUUGGGACUGAGAUACGGCCCAGACUCCUACGGGAGGCAGCAGUGGGGAAUAUUGGGCAAUGGGGGAAACCCUGACCCAGCAACGCCGCGUGAAGGAAGAAGGCUUUCGGGUUGUAAACUUCUUUUACCAGGGACGAAGAAAGUGACGGUACCUGGAGAAAAAGCCACGGCUAACUACGUGCC
rnacentral:rRNA from 1 species